UAAGGGCGCACGGUGGAUGCCUUGGCACUAGAAGCCGAUGAAGGACGUUACUAACGACGAUAUGCUUUGGGGAGCUGUAAGUAAGCUUUGAUCCAGAGAUUUCCGAAUGGGGAAACCCAGCAUGAGUUAUGUCAUGUUAUCGAUAUGUGAAUACAUAGCAUAUCAGAAGGCACACCCGGAGAACUGAAACAUCUUAGUACCCGGAGGAAGAGAAAGAAAAUUCGAUUCCCUUAGUAGCGGCGAGCGAAACGGGAAGAGCCCAAACCAACAAGCUUGCUUGUUGGGGUUGUAGGACACUCUAUACGGAGUUACAAAGGACGACAUUAGACGAAUCAUCUGGAAAGAUGAAUCAAAGAAGGUAAUAAUCCUGUAGUCGAAAAUGUUGUCUCUCUUGAGUGGAUCCUGAGUACGACGGAGCACGUGAAAUUCCGUCGGAAUCUGGGAGGACCAUCUCCUAAGGCUAAAUACUCUCUAGUGACCGAUAGUGAACCAGUACCGUGAGGGAAAGGUGAAAAGCACCCCGGAAGGGGAGUGA
rnacentral:rRNA from 1 species